UACGGGGGGGGCAAGCGUUGUUCGGAAUUACUGGGCGUAAAGGGCUCGUAGGCGGCCAACUAAGUCAGACGUGAAAUCCCCAGGCUCAACCUGGGAACUGCGUCUGAUACUGGAUGGCUUGAAUUCGGGAGAGGGAUGCAGAAUUCCAGGUGUAGCGGUGAAAUGCGUAGAUAUGCGGAGGAACACCGAUGGCGAAGGCAAUCCCCUGGGCCUGCACUGACGCUCAUGCACGAAAGCGUGGGGAGCAAACAGG
rnacentral:rRNA from 1 species